UGGGGAAUUUUGCGCAAUGGGCGAAAGCCUGACGCAGCGACGCCGCGUGAGCGACGAAGGCCUUCGGGUCGUAAAGCUCAGUCAUUGGGGAUGAGAAGACAGUACCCAAGGAGGAAGCCCCGGCUAACUACGUGCCAGCAGCCGCGGUAAUACGUAGGGGGCGAGCGUUGUCCGGAAUUACUGGGUGUAAAGGGCGUGUAGGCGGGGGUGCAAGUUACCGGUAAAAACCCAGGGCUCAACUCUGGGCUUGCCGGUAAAACUGCAUCUCUUGAGUGUAGGAGAGGGAAGUGGAAUUCCCGGAGUAGCGGUGAAAUGCGUAGAUACCGGGAGGAACACCAGUGGCGAAGGCGGCUUCCUGGCCUACAACUGACGCUGAGGCGCGAAAGCCAGGGUAGCGAACGGG
rnacentral:rRNA from 1 species